rnacentral:misc_RNA from 1 species
AACGAGGCCGACCUGCGGCUGAGUUACCUGCGGAGGGAUCAUUACCGAGUUUACAACUCCCAAACCCCUGUGAACAUACCUAUACGUUGCCUCGGCGGAUCAGCCCGCGCCCCGUAAAAAGGGACGGCCCGCCCGAGGACCCCUAAACUCUGUUUUUAGUGGAACUUCUGAGUAAAACAAACAAAUAAAUCAAAACUUUCAACAAUGGAUCU